rnacentral:rRNA from 1 species
UUACGGCCACAUCACGUUGAAACAUUGGUUCCUGUACAAUCACCGAAGUUAAGCAACGUCGAGCCUGGUCAGUACCAAGACGGGUGACCGCUUGGAAAUAGCAGGUGCUGUAAG